rnacentral:rRNA from 1 species
CGCGCGAAUCGCCCUUAGAGUUUGAUCCUGGCUCAGGACGAACGCUGGCGGCGCGCCUAACACAUGCAAGUCGAACGAGCGAGAGAGAGCUUGCUUUCUCAAGCGAGUGGCGAACGGGUGAGUAACGCGUGAGGAACCUGCCUCAAAGAGGGGGACAACAGUUGGAAACGACUGCUAAUACCGCAUAAGCCCACAGCUCGGCAUCGAGCAGAGGGAAAAGGAGCAAUCCGCUUUGAGAUGGCCUCGCGUCCGAUUAGCUGGUUGGUGAGGUAAUGGCCCACCAAGGCGACGAUCGGUAGCCGGACUGAGAGGUUGAACGGCCACAUUGGGACUGAGACACGGCCCAGACUCCUACGGGAGGCAGCAGUGGGGAAUAUUGCACAAUGGGGGAAACCCUGAUGCAGCGACGCCGCGUGGAGGAAGAAGGUCUUCGGAUUGUAAACUCCUGUUGUUGAGGAAGAUAAUGACGGUACUCAACAAGGAAGUGACGGCUAACUACGUGCCAGCAGCCGCGGUAAAACGUAGGUCACAAGCGUUGUCCGGAAUUACUGGGUGUAAAGGGAGCGCAGGCGGGAAGACAAGUUGGAAGUGAAAUCUAUGGGCUCAACCCAUAAACUGCUUUCAAAACUGUUUUUCUUGAGUAGUGCAGAGGUAGGCGGAAUUCCCGGUGUAGCGGUGGAAUGCGUAGAUAUCGGGAGGAACACCAGUGGCGAAGGCGGCCUACUGGGCACCAACUGACGCUGAGGCUCGAAAGUGUGGGUAGCAAACAGGGUUAGAUACCCUGGUAGUCCACACCGUAAACGAUGAUUACUAGGUGUUGGAGGAUUGACCCCUUCAGUGCCGCAGUUAACACAAUAAGUAAUCCACCUGGGGAGUACGACCGCAAGGUUGAAACUCAAAGGAAUUGACGGGGGCCCGCACAAGCAGUGAAGUAUGUGGUUUAAUUCGACGCAACGCGAAGAACCUUACCAAGUCUUGACAUCCCUUGACGAUACUGGAAACAGUAUUUCUCUUCGGAGCAAGGAGACAGGUGGUGCAUGGUUGUCGUCAGCUCGUGUCGUGAGAUGUUGGGUUAAGUCCCGCAACGAGCGCAACCCUUACUGUCAGUUACUACGCAAGAGGACUCUGGCAGGACUGCCGUUGACAAAACGGAGGAAGGUGGGGAUGACGUCAAAUCAUCAUGCCCUUUAUGACUUGGGCUACACACGUACUACAAUGGCGUUAAACAAAGAGAAGCAAGACCGCGAGGUGGAGCAAAACUCAGAAACAACGUCCCAGUUCGGACUGCAGGCUGCAACUCGCCUGCACGAAGUCGGAAUUGCUAGUAAUCGUGGAUCAGCAUGCCACGGUGAAUACGUUCCCGGGCCUUGUACACACCGCCCGUC